rnacentral:sRNA from 1 species
ACAAAGCGCAGGCGCAGCGGGUUGUGUGGCAGCAGCAUCGAGUAGCGGCCGCUUUGGCAGCAACAUCCGCAACAGGUGUAGACAAGGUCCCGCCUGACUCCGCCCUGGAAAGUCCUUUUGAAGAAAUGGCCCUGGUGAGGGGCGGCUGGCUGUGGAGACAGAGCUCCAUCCUCCGCCGCUGGAAGCGGAACUGGUUUGCCCUGUGGCUGGACGGGACCCUGGGAUACUACCAUGAUGAGACAGCGCAGGAUGAGGAGGACCGUGUGCUCAUCCACUUCAAUGUCCGUGACAUAAAGAUCGGCCAAGAGUGCCAUGAGGUGAGCCAGGCACAGUUCCUGCCCUCCAGGUGCUGGUACUGGAGGAAGAUGAAAUGAAAUUAGGAGGCCCAGAAAAGCAAAGUGGCCCAGAGUCACAGCAAAUCUCCACAUUCCUCCACCAAGGCCCAGGCCACAGUUCUAACAGGAUGUGCAGCCCCCAGAGGGCCGGAGCCGAGAUGGCCUGCUGACUGUGAACCUACGGGAAGGCGGCCGCCUGCACCUCUGUGCGGAGACCAGG